rnacentral:rRNA from 1 species
GACGAACGCUGGCGGCGUGCUUAACACAUGCAAGUCGAACGGAAAGGCCCUGCAUUUGUGCGGUGCCCGAGUGGCGAACGGGUGAGUAACACGUGAGUAACCUGCCCUUGACUUUGGGAUAACUUCACGAAACUGGGGCUACUAUCAGACAGGAGCUCCUGCUGCAUGGAGGGCGUUGGAAAGUUUCGGCGGUAGGGGAUGGACUCGCGGCUUAUCAGCUUGUUGGUGGGGUAGUGGCUUACCAAGGCUUUGACGGGUACCCGGCCUGAGAGGGUGGCCGGGGACAUUGGGACUGAGGUACGGACCAGACUCGUACGGGAGGCAGCAGUGGGAAACAUGGCACAAUGGGCGGAAGCGUGAGGCAGAAACGCCGGGUUCGGGAUGACGGCCUUCGGGUUGUAAACCGCUUUCGCCUGUGACGAAGCGGGAGUGACGGUAAUGGGUAAAGAAGCACCGGCUAACUACGUG